CCGAAGAGUAGAAGCGUUCAACCGCCCUUCCCUAUCCCGAGCGAAGGGCGGCAGGAAAUUGCUCUUGAG
rnacentral:ncRNA from 1 species